UACGUAGGCCGCAAGCGUUGUUCGGAAUUACUGGGCGUAAAGAGUGUGUAGGCGGUGCUCUACGUUCGGUGUGAAAUCUCCCGGCUUAACUGGGAGGGUGCGCCGGAAACUGGAGUGCUUGAGCGCGGGAGAGGAAAGCGGAAUUCCUGGUGUAGCGGUGAAAUGCGUAGAUAUCAGGAGGAACACCGGUGGUGUAGACGGCUUUCUGGACCGUAGCUGACGCUGAGACACGAAAGCGUGGGUAGCAAACAGG
rnacentral:rRNA from 1 species